rnacentral:lncRNA from 1 species
CCCUAAUCACCUACGAGAAAGUUGAUCUAUCAACGAAUUAAUUAGCAUGUGUACCAAAGGUUGGAUGCUGGGGCAGUCUCCAAAGUCCAAAUGUGCUUGUAACCAGAAGAUAAAUACGGCAUGAUCUCCUGAAACCUCCCAGUCCAACACCGAAUGGUUAGUUCACUCUCUUAUACAAGAGACCACAACUUGGUUUUUCGU